rnacentral:lncRNA from 1 species
GCCGUCAGACUGAUCCUGACUGAGGCCGAGGAAGUUGUAGGGCGCGACGGGGACGUUGUUUCCGUAGACGAAUGGGGACCACACGUCUUCUUCCUUAUGACCUUGGUAGGAGGGAGGGAUUGAGGUUCGGUACGUGACUUGCUGGUUCCUAUAGCUGACGUAGGUGCUGAGACGGUCGUAGUAGAUGCCGAUUUUGUCGUUGGGGUUGCGCGAGGAAAGCGUGACCUGAAAACUUGAGGUGAGGAGGUUCGGGACGGUGGCGUUGAACCCGAACACGGUGACGUCUUGGAGGAUGAAGGUUGGCUUGGUUGGCUUGAGAAUCGCCCAGAUUAUGAGAACCGUGAGCAGCACGAUGAACGCGAAGAUGAC